rnacentral:rRNA from 1 species
UACGAAGGGGGCUAGCGUUGCUCGGAAUCACUGGGCGUAAAGGGCGCGUAGGCGGACUUUUAAGUCGGGGGUGAAAGCCCAGGGCUCAACCCUGGAAUUGCCUUCGAUACUGAGAGUCUUGAGUUCGGAAGGGGUUGGUGGAACUGCGAGUGUAGAGGUGAAAUUCGUAGAUAUUCGCAAGAACACCAGCGGCGAAGGCGGCCAACUGGUCCGAUACUGACGCUGAGGCGCGAAAGCGUGGGGAGCAAACAGG